AUAAGUUUAAUAAUUGAAAGUUAUGCAGCUUGUUUAAUACAUGAUUAUUUAUAUAUAAAUAUACUAAUUAAUGAAAUUAUACAUAGACUGGAUUUAUGUAAUAAUAACAACGACAAUAUAUUAAUAGAUGGAUCGAGUUAUGUCUCUAAUAUUGUUGAAGAAAAUGGCCAUAAUAUUGUUGAAGAAAAUGGUCAUAAUAUUAUUGAAGAAAAUGGUCAUAAUAUUGUUGAAGAAAAUGGUCAUAAUUUUGUUGAAGAAAAUGACAAUAAUUGUAUCUCAAGUAGUCAUAAUGAAAAUGUUAAUAUAAAUAUGAAUAUAACACUGGCAAAUAUACAAACAAACGAACGUAAUUUUUUACAAUACAAACAAGAUCAAUUUAAUUAUUAUCCUACUAUGAAACAAUUAGUUGAUGUAGCCUAUUUUUUAUCAAAAUUAAAAUUUUUAAAUUAUGUUUUUUUUGAUUAUAUAAGUAUAUAUAUUAUCAAUUUAUUACAAAGUGAAAAAAAUUUAUUAACACCGUACAUAAUUGAAAAAGCAGUUAUAUCUUUUUGUUCAUUAAAAAUUAAUGAUAUAAAAUUGUUUGAAUAUAUAUUAACACAUAUUGGUUUAUAUAUAUAUGAUUAUCCACCUAGUGUUUUAUGUACUAUAGGAUAUUAUUUAAGUAAUAUAUUACCUUUUUAUUAUUCUCCUGUAUAUAAAAAAUUUAAAAAAAUGAUAAAAUAUAUUGCUGAUCAUAUUAAUAUUUUAAAUUUAGAUGCUUUAACGAAAUAUGCUUCUUUUAUACAUAAAGGAACGAUGAAUAAACAACUAAAAAAUGAUUUAUUUUUUUUAAUCAAUGAAUGUGUAAAAAAUAAUAAUAAUAAUAAUAAUAAUAAUAUGAUGAUGAGUACGUCUAUGGAUAUAUCUACAACUACUAAUAACGAAUAUUCUAACUGUAAAAAUUUUAAUUACGAUGUACCAACACUUGUAGAAAAAUUAUCUUACUAUAAUUGUAUAGAUAUAAAAUCAUUUAAUAUAUUAUGUAAACACUUACAUCAACAUAUACAAUUAUUUGAGCCUAGCGAUUUUAAUAAAACAACAAGAGCAUUAAUUAAUAUAAAAAAAAAAAAAAAUUUUACUGACGAACAUAUUUUAAACGCAUUAGCAAGAAAUGUAAUACAACAACAUGACAUAUUUCAUAUUAUUGAUUAUCAUCAAACUGUCAAAUUAUUAAUUGAUUUGGGAUUAGUAAAAGAAAUAUAUAAAAUAUAUUUAAUAAAAUAUCAUAACGAUUUACCAUUUUAUGGAUUUAAAAAUUUAAUUAUAGAUUAUAAUAAAAAAUUACCAAAAAAUGUAAAAAAAGCGCUUAACAGAUAUAAAAAAAACACUAUAUACUUUUCAAACAAAAAAAUAGAACAAUGUUAUCCCUUGUAUAAAUCUAUAGAAGAUUGAAAAAUAUUACAUGUC
rnacentral:lncRNA from 1 species